AAUAUUAGUCAAUGCUCGAAAGAGUGAACUAGCUAACUGAAAUCAAUUAUAAUAAUUGAUAACAUAAGGGAAAAUAAUGAUAUUACCUUAUUAUUAGUGUCGUCCAAAACUGGUGCCAGAAGACUCGGUAAGGCCAGAGACACAAACGUUAAUCGUCUUAAUCAGGCGUAAAGGGUUUGUAGGCAGCUUUAAAAUUAGAUUAUUAAAUUAAAUAAAUAAAAAUUAUUAAUUAAUAAUUAAAGACAAAAAGCUAGAAUCAAAAAGAGGAUAUAUUAAAGAAUGCUUAGAGUAGGUCUGAUAUCCUUAGAUACUAAGUAGAAUAUUAAAGGCGAAAGCUUUUUUCCAUUAAUGAUUGACGCUCAGAAACGAAGGUGAGGAUAGGAAAUAGGAUUAGAUACCCAAAAUACCCCUCUCUGUCAACGAUGAAUGGUAAUUAUUAGUAAAAAUUUUAUUAAUGAUAAUGUUAACACGAUAACCAUUCCGCCUUGUGAGUACAACUGCAAAGUUGAAAACAAAAAAAUUAGUCGGUUUCGGAGCAAACGAAGUGAAGCAUGUUAUUUAAUUCG
rnacentral:rRNA from 1 species